CCCUAUAGAGUUUAAUACUUCUAUUUUAUUUAAUUAUAGAAUUAGUUUUGAAAUUUAAGUAUUUAAUUGGGGUGAUUUAAAGAUUUAAAUAAUUCUUUAAUUUUUUAAUUGAUGAUAAGCAAAUUGUAAAUCUAUAUUUUUAAAUUUAAUAUAAAUUACCUUAGGGAUAACAGCGUAAUUUUUCUUUAAAGCUCUUAUUAAAAGAAGAUUUUGCGACCUCGAUGUUGGAUUAAAAUUAAUUUUUGGUGCAGUAACUUAAAAAUUGGGUCUGUUCGACCUUUAAAAUUUUACAUGAUCUGAGUUUAAACCGGUGUAAGCCAGGUUGGAUUCUAUCUUUAGAUUUUUUGUAUAUUUUAGUACGAAAGGACCAAAUAUAUAUUAUAAUAAUUG
rnacentral:rRNA from 1 species